UACAGAGGUCCCAAGCGUUGUUCGGAUUCACUGGGCGUAAAGGGUGCGUAGGUGGUGAGGUAAGUCGGAUGUGAAAGCUCCGAGCUCAACUCGGAAAUGGCAUUGGAAACUACCUUGCUCGAGGGUUUGAGGGGGGACUGGAAUACUUGGUGUAGCAGUGAAAUGCGUAGAUAUCAAGUAGAACACCAGUGGCGAAGGCGAGUCCCUGGAAAACUCCUGACACUGAGGCACGAAAGCUAGGGGAACAAACAGG
rnacentral:rRNA from 1 species